UAGGGAAUCUUCGGCAAUGGGGGGAACCCUGACCGAGCAACGCCGCGUGAGUGAAGAAGGUUUUCGGAUCGUAAAGCUCUGUUGUUAAGGAAGAACGAGUGUGAGAAUGGAAAGUUCAUGCUGUGACGGUACUUAACCAGAAAGGGACGGCUAACUACGUGCCAGCAGCCGCGGUAAUACGUAGGUCCCGAGCGUUGUCCGGAUUUAUUGGGCGUAAAGCGAGCGCAGGCGGUUAGAAAAGUCUGAAGUGAAAGGCAGUGGCUCAACCAUUGUAGUCUUUGUAAACUGUUUAACUUGAGUACAGAAGGGGAGAGUGGAAUUCCAUGUGUAGCGGUAAAAUGCGUAGAUAUAUGGAGGAACACCGGUGGCGAAAGCGGCUCUCUGGUCUGUAACUGACGCUGAGGCUCGAAAGCGUGGGGAGCGAACAGG
rnacentral:rRNA from 1 species